UAAGGCUAAAUACACUUGGCGACCGAUAGUGAACUAGUACCGUGAGGGAAAGGUGAAAAGUCCCCCCUGUUAGGGGAGUGAAAUAGAACCUGAAACCAUAAGCUUACAAGCAGUUGGAGGGCUAACGGCAAGUUGAGCCCCCUAGAAAUAGGGACGUUCCUUGCUAUGCCUGACAGCGUGCCUCUUGGAGAAUGAGCCUGCGAGUUAAUCUCAGUGGCGAGGUUAAGGGAGUGACACCCGAAGCCGUAGCGAAAGCGAGUCUUAAUAGGGCGUAUAGUCGCUGGGAUUAGGCCCGAAACCGUGUGAGCUACCCAUGGGCAGGGUGAAGCGAGUCUAAUCACUCGUGGAGGCCCGAACCCACUAACGUUGCAAAGUUAGGGGAUGACCUGUGGGUAGAGGUGAUAUGCCAAUCGAACACGGAGAUAGCUGGUUCUCCCCGAAAUAGCUUUAGGGCUAGCGUCAUGCGUUUAGAACUGGAGGUACAGCACUGAAUGGGCUAUGGGGCUUACAGCUUACA
rnacentral:rRNA from 1 species